GGCCGAAGUCGGCCAGAGAUUUGUAAGCGCCAAAACGGCUUGCAAAGCCGUCUAGACGGGUUCGACUCCCGUCCUCGCCUCCA
rnacentral:tRNA from 1 species